CCACCCUGGGCUCCAAAAGUGAGCCACCACACCCGGUAAAACACUUAAAAUGUCACUUUAGGUCCUGUGGGAAGAGCAGCGUGGAGGUGGGCUGAGGUUAGAAGGUGCAGAGCGUGAAAGAAGAUUGUGGGCUGAGUAUUGGACAUCUGUUCUUGAAUAGUCCCUGGGCCUGCCAUAGGAAAGGAAGUUCUCCUGGGUUACAGUUCUUAUCCGCGUGAAUACACAUGGCUCUGUUAC